GGAGUAUGGACCGUCUCUCAGUUCCAUUGUGACCGUUCAUCCUCUCAGACCGGUUACCGAUCGUCGGUUUGGUGAGCUCUUACCCCACCAACUACCUAAUCGGACGCAGGCUCCUCGCAAAGCGAUAAAUCUUUAGUAGUAAAAUCAUGCAACUCUACUACAACAUUCGGUAUUAGCGUCCCUUUCGGAACGUUGUCCCCAUCUUUGCGGCAGAUUACCUGCGCUUUACUCACCCGUUCGCCACUGGCACCGAAGUGCCCGUUCGACUUGCAUGUGUUAAGCACGCCGCCAGCGUUCGUC
rnacentral:rRNA from 1 species